AAGCCGCGCGUCGGAUCGUGCGUUUUUGCUCUCUUUCUCCCUUUUCUAAACCCCGCACGCACGCACACGUCCCCCGGCUGUGCCAGGCGCGCACACGUCGCAGACCUGCUCGUCAGUGCACGGGAUCCCCGACUGUGGCCGUGCCUGUCUCCGCUCCCCGCCUCGAUCCCCCGCCGCUCCGCUGGAUGUUUGCGCAGAGGACACUGAACCUCCACACACCCCUGCUGAACGCUGCAGCUCUCCUUCACCUCUCACAUUGAGCAGUUUGUAAUCGGUCCUGUUGAUGCCUCUCGGUCAGACAGCAUGGGUCUAACAGGCUGAGAGAACCUCGAUCAGUCAGGGUGGUGACUUUCAAGUUGGAGCUUUGGUGGUUAUUUAUCGGCGACAAGGCUGGAAAGUUGCGCUGCGUCAUGGGCCAUGAGCGCAAACUUUAAAAUCUUUUUAUUGCGGGGAAACAUUUGUCCCCCUCUUCUUUUUCUUUUUUUUUUUUUUUUGUAUUUGACAAUGAGGGCAGGUGGGUCACUCUUGGCGUGAAAAGCACACGGAGCUCCACGGACCCUCACGCAUUGGCAGGAAAAGGCGACAGCGAGGAAGUCGUGAUUUGUGCGACUGAUUGCGCUGGUGAGGACGGAGGAAAAGGACCGAUGAGACAACAUGGGUCCGUUGCUGUGUGAUGGACGGCUGGCACACCUCCUCUUUCCUCUGCUCCUCCUCUUGCGAGCUCCCCUGUUAUUCAGCUUUGGUGAGCGCACAUGCCCCAAUAACUGUCGCUGUGAGGGAAAAACUGUCCAUUGUGACUCAUCUGGAUUUUUAGAUGUGCCAGAAAACAUCUCAGUAGGCUGUCAGGGCCUCUCUUUACGCUACAAUGAACUGCAUACCCUUCUGCCAUAUCAGUUUGCUCACCUCAGUCAACUUCUUUGGAUAUAUCUGGACCAUAAUCAGAUUUCAGCUGUUGACAGUCGAGCAUUCCAGGGAGUCCGCAGGCUGAAAGAGCUGAUACUUAGCUCCAACAGGAUCACAUCCCUCCACAAUUCAACAUUCCAUGGCAUUCCCAAUCUUCGCAGUUUGGACUUGUCAUACAAUAAACUGGAAAUCCUGCAACCUGGUCAAUUUCACGGCUUACGCAAACUACAGAACCUUCACCUUCGCUCAAAUGGUCUAUCCAACAUCCCAAUUCGGGCAUUUCUAGAAUGCAGAAGUCUGGAGUUCCUGGAUUUGGGCUACAAUCGAAUCAAGGCUCUUACCCGCACCACUUUCUUGGGUUUACAGAGGUUGAUGGAGUUGCAUCUAGAGCACAACCAGUUCUCACGGAUCAACUUUUUUCUCUUUCCACGCUUAGCCAAUCUGAGAUCACUUUAUCUGCAAUGGAAUCGCAUUAGAGUGGUCAACCAGGGCCUUCCAUGGACUUGGUACACACUACAGAAACUGGAUCUGUCUGGAAAUGAGAUUCAAACAAUGGACCCAGCUGUGUUUCACUGCUUACCCAACCUUCAAGUCCUAAACCUGGAAUCCAAUAAACUGUCUAAUGUGUCCCAAGAGGCUGUGUCAGCAUGGAUCUCACUGACCUCCAUAAGCCUUGCUGGCAACAUGUGGGACUGUGGACCUGGAAUUUGUCCUCUUGUUGCUUGGUUGAGGAACUUUCGUGGGAGUAAAGACACCACAAUGAUAUGCAGCAGCCCAAAGAUUCUCCAGGGUGAAAAAAUCAUGGACGCUACACGGAGCCAUGGUAUUUGUGAGGAAACUGAUUACAUUCUGACCGAAACACCGUCACCAAUGUCAGAGCUAAUUUCUGAAGCCACUGCUGAAUCAACCUUUGCCACUACAACUGGCUCUCCUCCUAUGCCACCAACCAGUACCUCUCGCCCUCUUCCACCAGUCAGGCCUCGACCUAUUCCCCAUCCAACCUUUCCGGGGCAUAUGAGCAAGGACCCAAGAGACUCAGCAGUACGCACUCGACCCACUCACAUAUCACCCCCAGAGAUUGAGCACAUGACUCUGCACAAAGUGGUGGUGGGCAGCGUGGCGCUCUUCUUCACCAUGUCCCUAAUCAUGACAAUUAUCUAUGUCCUGUGGAGGCGCUACCCAGGUGCAACCAGGUUGCUGCAGCAGCGAUCAAUGGUGGGGCGGAAGCGUCGCAAAAAGAGUCCUGAGCCAGAGCAAAACCUCAGCUCCCAGCUCCAAGAGUACUAUAUGAGUUACAACCCUGCUGCCACACCAGAGGCAUUGGAGGUGCUAGGCAAUGGCACUGGUUCCUGUACUUGCACAAUUUCUGGCUCCAGGGAGUGUGAGGUAUGAUCCGUCGCAUCAGCCUUAAAAUAAAAAACUAAAACAAAUUACAAGGCUCAACAGAGAGAGUGAUUACACAUGUCCACGCCCCCUACCUGGUGCCUGGCUGGGAGAUGUUCGCACUAUCCAUUAAGUUUCCAAAAGGAUCUGUGAAUGGAGCACGGACCAUAAUUAAGGACAGACACGUGCGACGUUCAUCAGGAUCUUUCUCCCAUAUUUAAGAUUCAAAGAUACGUUGAAAUGGUAUUCCAUGGAGGGGAAACGAUGGACCAGGAGAAGGAGGAAAAAAAAUACUGUCUUUUUUCUGUUUUCUUAAGAUUUUAUAGUGCCUCCUUUUGUUCUUUCUUUCCUUUUUUGUUGCCUGCGGUCUUUGGUCCUCAGCUUUGAUGCCAUCCAUCAUGCUUCAUCACCAUGCAAAUGACUCAGCAACCCAGGGAUGGCUAUGAUGUAAAUGGACCCUUUUUGUUAAGAUUGGAGCGGUUUAUUGUCUUAUCGAGGACAAUGCAGCAUUGUACAAAAAAGUGUAAAAGCAGCAAAUCACGAAUGAAACUGCAAAAUGAAAAGUUGCUCUGACUGCUCUGCUUACUAUGUAUAAUUUAAAGUGUGUAUGCAUAUUUUGAUUCCAGGAGAAGCAUUAUUCUGUGAUCUUUUAAUACUCUUUGUAAGACAGGCAGCUGCUUUGCUAUGAUGGUGGAUCACUGGAGCAGAAAAACCAUGAAAGGAAGCACUUGGGCACCUGUCAUUAAGGAAUAAUCACUUUAUCUGGAGGACGUCAAGUUGGAGGCAGCUGGAAAACUGAAUACUGAUGACACUGUUUUCUCUCUUUUUUUCUAGAUUGUUUCCAGUAAAUAAAACUUUGUCUAUCCAGUUUGAUUUAGAGGACAGAGAAAGACACUUACACUUUCUGUAAGUUUGUGAGAACAGAGAUAGGACAAGAGAAAGAAAUAUGGGGGGGGGGGAUAAAAAGGCCCCAUUAAGGGUAAAUUGUAUUUUUUUUUUCAUGUUCUUAUUCUAAUGUGAUUAUUGUUGUACUUUAUAAUUAUGUGUUUUUGCCAGUUUCAGCACCAAAUACCAAAGAGCCGAUGGAUCUUUCUUGGCUUUUGGCUCACCCAAACAUAGCUUGCUACGAAUCUCUGAAUAGCUCCCUUCAGACUAAUCUGCGACAAAUCAAAAGAAGCCUCAACUCUUUUCACGUUCCUGCAGUGUUCUGCUACCUAAGUGGCUUUUCUUUUCUAUUCCACGUGCGUGAAGUGUGCGUCUUUUUGAUCAAAUGGUCCAAGAAUGGCAGGAAGAUCUUGUGUGCAACGUAACUUUGAGCACCGCUUUACAUUGUAUAAGUUCUGUUAAAUACAUGCCUCAAUUCCCUUAAAAUCCACACCCCCGACCAUUGACUCCCAACCCCUCACUUCUGCUGUGCGUGGCUCUGCGUGUGCUUGUAUUCGUUUUUAAUUAUCAGCCCACUUAGUUGUGGAUUGUUUGUUUAAAUAUAAUCUUUCUACACCUUUCAGCCCCCCCUGCUCCCCUCAUGAAUUUCUUGGUAUUUAAUGAGCAACUGUAUUCUUUGUUCACUUUCGACAGUAUGUUUUAUAAUGAAAAGUAUGACUAUACUGGUGAGCCAUAUUAACUGGUCAAAUAAAAAUAUUUG